CAUGGAGAACCUUUAAAUAUUGAACCAACAGCUUAAGUUUGGGAUUGUACUAUUCAUUACGCUUGUACUAGAUAGGUUUGUACUGUUUAGUGGUUUCUCUUUGCUCUAAUUUUUUUAUUGUAAUUGAAGCAUUACUUUAGUUAUUUUAAGCGGUGUCAGAAAAGAAAUAAUUCAUUAUCAGCAUUAUGGAAUUCCAUCCUCUUCGGCUUA